rnacentral:rRNA from 1 species
UACCCAGACUCCUACGGGAGGCAGCAGUGGGGAAUAUUGCACAAUGGGGGAAACCCUGAUGCAGCGACGCCGCGUGAGUGAAGAAGUCUUUCGGUAUGUAAAGCUCUAUCAGCAGGGAAGAAAAUGACGGUACCUGACUAAGAAGCCCCGGCUAACUACGUGCCAGCAGCCGCGGUAAUACGUAGGGGGCAAGCGUUAUCCGGAUUUACUGGGUGUAAAGGGAGCGUAGACGGUUAAUCAAGUCUGAAGUGAAAGCCCGCGGCUCAACUGCGGAACGGCUUUGGAAACUGAGUAACUGGAGUGCUGGAGAGGCAGACGGAAUUCCUAGUGUAGCGGUGAAAUGCGUAGAUAUUAGGAGGAACACCAGUGGCGAAGGCGGUCUGCUGGACAGCAACUGACGAUGAGGCGCGAAAGCGUGGGGAGCAAACAGGAUUAGAUACCCUAGUA